AAUAUGUCCUCUCUAAUGCAAAACAAUGUAUAUAACCAAAUUGUUCUGCCUCGCUUGUGGACAAGAUAAAUAUUUCUAUUAUCCUAGUGUCUAACCUUAUUAAAUGGUUGGAUGCUUGAGAAACAUAGAAAAACAACU